CUGAAAACAUAGGCCCUGGAUUGUUCAUGCAUCAGACUGCAUGCUACUAAUUGAUUUGUGCAUUUACGCCUCCCUAUUAUUUUUGCUCUUUCUAAAAAAAAAAUUGCUCGCUAACUUUCAUUUUGUAUUCAGUCCACUUCGACAAAUUUCUUCACAUACCCAUUCUGGAAGAGGGGAUGAAGAAAAGAAGAGAACGCUUGCGGAAUGCACAGAUGAAAGGGGACAGCAAAAAUAAAGAGUGAGAAAAUGGAGAGCAUGUUCUGUGGGAGAGCAAGAGAGAUCUGACCUACGCACCCAACAUAGCCACUCCCAUUCCAUAUAGCCCAAGACCUGAAAGAAAUAGCACUGGACAAGGUCAGCCUAUGCUUUGUUGUUUCGGGAAUGCUGUGGUCUACUCUUGUCUUGAGUCUGUGGGAACUCCCCACUAAGGAGGAACUAUGGGAAGAAUUUCAGUUCAGCCUCAGUGAGGUAAUAUCUCCAGCAAGUUUGGAGUUUAAAG
ensembl:lncRNA